rnacentral:rRNA from 1 species
GAUGAACGCUGGCGGCGUGCCUAAUACAUGCAAGUCGAACGAGGUGCUUUUGUAGCAAUACGAGAGUAUCCUAGUGGCGAACGGGUGAGUAACGCGUUGGUGACCUGCCCCAAAGUGCGGGAUAACAGUCCGAAAGGAUUGCUAAUACCGCAUGUGGUUAUCGGGUUUAGAAACCGAUAACUAAAGAAGCAAUUCGCUUUGGGAGGGACCUGCGUCCCAUCAGCUAGUUGGUGAGGUAACGGCUCACCAAGGCGACGACGGGUAGGGGACCUGAGAGGGUGACCCCCCACAAUGGAACUGAAACACGGUCCAUACACGUACGGGUGGCAGCAGUAGGGAGUAUUGCACAAUGGGCGAAAGCCGGAUGCAGCAACGCCGCGUGUGCGAUGAAGGCCUUCGGGUCGUAAAGCACUUUUCUGCGAGAUGAGAAAGGACAGUAUCGUAGGAAUAAGUUUCGGCUAACUACGUGCCAGCCGCCGCCGUAACAC